rnacentral:misc_RNA from 1 species
GCAAACUUGGUCAUUUAGAGGAAGUAAAAGUCGUAACAAGGUUUCCGUAGGUGAACCUGCGGAAGGAUCAUUAACAAUUGUCCGCUUUCAUGGAUAAUUACAUAUCCAUAUCCACCUUGUGUGCAUCAUUGAACCGUUUGUUGGCAGGUUUUCAGGCUCACGGAGCCUGUUGGAGUUGUGCGCUCGGCCUGCCAAUUUUAUGUAUAAACCAUGUCUAAAUACUGCUUGUCUGAAAUUGUUUUAUUACAAUAAAUACAACUUUCAACAACGGAUCUCUUGGCUCUCGCAUCGAUGAAGAACGCAGC